rnacentral:lncRNA from 10 species
UAGGAGCAACCCUUCUUCUCCUACCUGAGAAUAUUAGAUUCUCUCCUGCCUCUACUGAUGUAUUUACAAGGGACUGAUUAUCCUCAUCAGGAGCUUCUCCCAAAUACCUGCCAUCGCUUCUAGACCUAUUACUAAACUGAAGUUGCAGGCUCCAGAGAGCAAGCUGGCAGAUGGGCUGAUCUGCAGAGCCCAAGAUGGCUUUACUUACAUGUCUGCCACUUUGAUGGACAUGGCUGGAAGACUGACCUUAGCGACUCAAGUAGCAGGGAACCACUGAGACCAUAUUGUUGCCCAUAUGUCGGAAAGCUACUAAAUUAAACCCCUGUGUAACAUGCUGACAAGUCUAAUGCAGUAGUUGGAGAUUUGUCUACAGGAUAUCAGAAUUCUAAGAAAAACUUGGAAAUCAUGUUCAGGACUAUACAGGACUUUAAAAGCUUUAUCUUCCCAAACUGAAAACCAGACCUCUCAAGUCUAGCUGCUCUCCUCCAGGUGCUGCAUAAAUGGACCUGGUCUUUGGCUACCUUACUUUGGAUCACUUGGUUGAAACAGUUCCCUUAGUCAACUUGUCCACUGGACUUAAGCUGUGGGACACAGAAAUUUUCCCUGGAAGAACAGAACAAUGAAGAUGAAUAGUUGAAAAAUGAGAGUGAUCCUGGCUGUUGGUAGGAGUAUGAGACACCCCUCCACAUUAGCAAACCCUAGAUUCUAAAUCCAUCAGCCUAAGUUGUUGGCUAUACAAGCAUGAUGACAGUACCUGCUCGGCUUCUGGCACUUCUGCAAGUCUCAGAGUCUAAAGGCUGAAAAACCUGGAGUCUGAUGUCCAAGGGCAGGAGGAGAGGAAGCAAGCAUCUGACAUGGAAAGAAAGUGGGAGCCAGAAGACUCAGCAAGCAAGACUACCCCCAUGACUUCUUCCACCUAGGUCUUCCUCUUCCAGUCCACUGACCCAAAUGUAAAUUUCCUUUGGCAACAUCCUCACAGACACACCCCAAAACAAUACUUUGCCAGCCAUCUAGGAAUCCUUUAAUCCAGUCAGGAUGACAACUAAUGUUAACCAUCACAGCAUUUUCUAAAGAGAGAAUCCUGCAUUCUAAAGGAUCUAGUCUGGAUGCCAGGAGCUGUGUAUAGGAUGAGAGCCUGGUGGACCUGAUUGACCGCCUGUUGUUCAGUUCAGUUCAGAGACUGAAAAUCAGGAUUUGUGCUGGAGAGUCUUUGAACUGUGUGUGAAAGUAUCUGAAGGUCCAUGACAAUUUGAAAGAAGGCAUAUGAAAAAGGUGCAGGAAUCGAAGGCACGAGAUACACCUGAAAGUGGUGGAGCAAUGAAUCUGAACAGGAUGAUGGAUUGAAAGUGCUCAAAAGAGGCAGCUAGGAUCCUGUAUUCAUGUCCUACCACUGCAGCCAGGGAAAGAUCCUCCCACAUCUAUCAGAAGACUGGAGGAUUAUGUCUGGAGAGAUUGAAUUCUAGGGAUGCUCAGGCCCAAAUGAAGGUUUGAGCACACAAUGAAAUGAGUUGAUAUUGACUGUUGGGAACCAGAGUUCUCAGUGGAUGAAGAGACACAGAAAAAUAAAAUGAAGGAAGGCAAAGAAGAUCUCUGAAGAGAUGGAUUGGAAUUGGAAGCAUUAGUAUGAACCAUGAUUCUAAAAUAGUUAUAUAUUGAUGUCUAUGCUUGUAUAUAUCCAGAAGUUUAUGUAUGUAUGUUUAAAUGUGUGUGUAAUAUAUAUGUAUACAUAUAUGUACACAUGUAUAUAUUUCCUAGCUUUGUCUACUGAAAGGGUCCACAAGCAAAAUCUUGUAGCGGAUCUUGGUCUCUAAGAUUGUUCCCUGUUAAAAAAAAAACAGGAUCCGUUGGAGAAAUUGCUGAUUCCAGUGCUGUAGCAGAAAAGGUAAUACAUGAUCCUAAAAUCAGUAGUCUCAUUCUGUUAGAUUACUGUGGGGUUCAGUAUGGUAGCCACUAGUCUCUUGUGCUAUUUAUUUAUUUAUUUUUAUUAUUAUGCUUUAAGUUCUAGGGUACAUGUGUACAGCAUGCAGGUUUGUUGCAUAUGUAUACAUCUGCCAUGUUGGUGUGCUGCACCCAUUAACUGGCAAUUUACAUUAGGUAAAUCUCCUAAUGCUAUCCCUGCUCCCUCCCCCAACCCCAUGUCAGGCCCCAGUAUGUGAUGAUCCUCAUCCUGUGUCCAAGUGUUUUCAUUGUUCAGUUCCCACCUGUGAGUGAGAACAUGCAGUGUUUGGUUUUCUAUCCUUGCGAUAGUUUGCUCAGAAUGAUGGUUUCUAAUUUCAUCCAUGUCCCUACAAAGGACAUGAACUCAUCCUUUUUUAUGGCUGCAUAGUAUUCCACGGUGUAUAUGUGCCACAUUUUC